CCCUUAGAUGUUCUGGGCCGCACGCGUGCUGCACUGAGUGGAUCAGCGGGUCAGGUUGCGCGAAAGUGUUUCCUAAUCUUGAAAUCCGCUCGUGAUGGGGAUUGACGGUUGCAAUUUUCCGUCAUGAACGAGGAAUACCUUGUAAGCGCGGGUCAUCAUCCCGCGCUGAAUACGUCCCUGCCCUUUGUACACACCGCCCGUCGCUCCUACCGAUUGAGUGGUCCGGUGAGGCUUUGGGAUCUGAGCAAAAAGAGCGUUUCGCUCGUUUGGCUCGGAAAACUCAGUCGAACCUUAUCAUUUAGAGGAAGGAGAAGUCGUAACA
rnacentral:rRNA from 1 species